rnacentral:rRNA from 1 species
CCUACGGGUGGCUGCAGUGAGGAAUAUUGGUCAAUGGACGAGAGUCUGAACCAGCCAAGUAGCGUGAAGGAUGAAGGCCCUAUGGGUUGUAAACUUCUUUUAUAUGGGAAUAAAAUGUGCCACGUGUGGGAGUUUGUAUGUACCAUAUGAAUAAGGAUCGGCUAACUCCGUGCCAGCAGCCGCGGUAAUACGGAGGAUCCGAGCGUUAUCCGGAUUUAUUGGGUUUAAAGGGAGCGUAGGUGGAUUGUUAAGUCAGUGGUUAAAGUUUGCGGCUCCACCGUACACUUGCCGUUGAAACUGGCAGUCUUGAGUACAGUAGAGGUGGGCGGCCUUCGUUGUGUAGCGGU